rnacentral:rRNA from 1 species
UACGUAGGGGGCAAGCGUUGUCCGGAUUUAUUGGGCGUAAAGAGCGUGUAGGCGGCCAGACAGGUCCGUUGUGAAAACUCGAGGCUCAACCUCGAGACGCCGAUGGAAACCGUCUGGCUAGAGUCCGGAAGAGGAGAGUGGAAUUCCCGGUGUAGCGGUGAAAUGCGCAGAUAUCAGGAGGAACACCGGUGGCGAAGGCGGCAUCCUGGACCGACAUUGACGCUGAGGAGCGAAAGCUAGGGGGAGCAAACGGG